GGGGAAUAUUGGACAAUGGGGGCAACCCUGAUCCAGCCAUGCCGCGUGAGUGAUGAAGGUCUUAGGAUUGUAAAGCUCUUUCGGCGGGGAAGAUGAUGACGGUACCCGCAGAAGAAGCCCCGGCUGACUUCGUGCCAGCAGCCGCGGUAAUACGAAGGGGGCUAGCGUUGUUCGGAAUUACUGGGCGUAAAGGGCGUGUAGGCGGCUUGCAAAGUCGGGCGUGAAAGCCCCGGGCUCAACCCGGGAAUUGCGUUCGAUACUGGCGAGCUAGAGUUCGGGAGAGGGUCGGGGAAUUCCCAGUGUAGAGGUGAAAUUCGUAGAUAUUGGGAAGAACACCAGUGGCGAAGGCGGCGACCUGGACCGAUACUGACGCUAAGGCGCGAAAGCGUGGGGAGCAAAC
rnacentral:rRNA from 1 species